rnacentral:rRNA from 1 species
CCAAUAGCGUAUAUUAAAGUUGUUGCAGUUAAAAGCUCGUAGUUGAAUUUCGGGACCCGUGUGUCGGUUGGGCUUAACUGUCCAUCACUGGCAUUCGCGGGUCUCUUACCUUCUGGUGAGGUCAGAUGCCAUUCGUUUGGUGUCUGGCGGAUCCAGGACCAUUACCUUGAAAAAAUUAGAGUGUUUAAAGCAGGCUUACCGUCUGAAUACAUUAGCAUGGAAUAAUAAAAUAGGACGGCUAAGGGUUCUAUUUUGUUGGUUUCUAGGACCACCGUAAUGAUUAAUAGGGAUAGUUGGGGGCAUUAGUAUUCAAUUGUCAGAGGUGAAAUUCUUGGAUUUAUUGAAGACUAACUACUGCGAAAGCAUUUGCCAAGGAUGUUUUCAUUAAUCAAGAACGAAAGUUAGGGGAUCGAAGACGAUCAGAUACCGUCGUAGUCUUAACCAUAAACUAUGCCGACUAGGUUUCGGGCGAUGUUAAUUUUUAUGACUCGUUCGGCGCCUUACGGGAAA